AUUAGGCAGAUUACCUUAGUGCUGUGUGAAAGAUGAACUGGAGGGAGAGGGACACAUUCAGAAGUCAUUGUAGUCAUCUGGGCAAGAAGUGAUGACUGUCAGUGGAGAUGAGGGGACAGAUGUGAGAAAGGCAGUUCUACUCUAGCGAGUUUUCCGAUGGUGUUCCCAGGUAAAUAGGCUCGGACACAAUUUCUGUAGCAAUAAGGUAUCAUCUCAGCUCAGUCUUCGACCAGAGGGUUAAGAGAUGAACAUGUUAGUUUCUGCCUGGGCUUCCUGGAGUCACUGCAGCAACAUUACAGCCUCAGGUCUUCUUUACCCACUAAGAACCUUCCACUAAGGGAGGAUUUGGAAGGUUGGACCUACUGCUAGGCCCAGAAGCCCUGUUUACUCCAUCACAUUCCCCCAAACCACCAAACCUUCUGAGAGAGGCAUAAAUUCCUCAGCACCAUCUAGUGGCCCUAUCUCUCUUUUUCCCUGGUGUCUAAGAAACAUACCGAUGCUGCCAUCCGUCAUCACUGUGCAGAGGGCUGGGCCUGGAGUCAGGAAGACCUGUGUUCAUAUGCAGCCUCAGACACUAGUUACCUAUGUGACCCUGGCAUCUAUGUAUGGCAUCUUAAAGAUGAAGAAGCUGGCAAAGAAGUCAGAGCUAGGCCUGGCAGUGUCAUGAACACACUAGGCAGCCUCCUCCUCCCAGGUCAAUGAGUUCCUUUCCACGCCUGACCAGAGCCUCAUACUCAUCUGUCACGGGAGCUGAACUCGGGUUGUGUGCAGUCGUCUCCUGUGAAUCUUG